UUCAAAAACAAGAGGAAAAGAGACUUGUAUCCAAUGGCAUGAAUUUGAGUCGGAAGUAGCUGGUUAAAGAUCACAUUUCGAUUUGAA
rnacentral:snoRNA from 1 species